UUAAAAAAAAAAUUUUAAAUAAGAACAAAUUUACUAUUUUUUAACAAAGUGUGGCAUAUAAUUUUAUGUUACAUAUGAUGAUAAAAAACUUAUCGUCAGGGAUUGUGCAAAACUGCAUAACUAGCAUUGGAUAUUACCGCGCGUCUACAGUACAGUUUUUUUACUGGAGAAGUUAAGCAAUAUGACGCCUAAUAGAUUGUUAAUUUUUGCAAUUGUUCUUUUAAUGAUUAUUUCCAUGGUGAGCUCACAAAAACGAAGAAAAAAUUUAAACAAAACUGGGAAACGGUAUAAAUGUCAAUCUGAAAAAUGUAUUUGGUAUCUAGGAGGCGGUAAUUGGUGCUGGUCAAACACCAACGGAUCAAAACAGUCGGUAGCCUGUAAAACUGAUGAUGAUUGCAUCAAUGUAAAAAGGUGUGAUCGUUCGCGAGGGCUUAUACAAAUUGAUUGAAAAUUUUUUUUAGAUAAAAUCAUUAAAAAUUUUAUGUAAAAUUUUUAGCGUCAGUAGAUUAAAUACAAAAUAUUUUUUUGUUCAAAA